UCCUACGGGAGGCAGCAGUAGGGAAUUUUCCACAAUGGGCGAAAGCCUGAUGGAGCAACGCCGCGUGCAGGAUGAAGGCCCUUGGGUCGUAAACUGCUUUUAUGUGCGAAGAAUAUGACGGUAACACAUGAAUAAGGAUCGGCUAACUACGUGCCAGCAGCCGCGGUCAUACGUAGGAUCCAAGCGUUAUCCGGAAUUACUGGGCGUAAAGAGUUGCGUAGGUGGUUUAUUAAGUGGAGCGUGAAAGCGUGCGGCUCAACCGCAUUACUGCGUUCCAAACUGUUAGACUUGAGUAUGAGAGAGGUAGAUGGAAUUUCUAGUGUAGGAGUGAAAUCCGUAGAUAUUAGAAGGAACACCGAUGGCGUAGGCAGUCUACUGGCUCAUUACUGACACUGAGGCACGAAAGCGUGGGGAGCAAACGGGAUUAGAUACCCCGGUAGUCCUAGCCCUAAACGAUGAAUACUUGGUGUCUGGAGUCUUUAAUGCUCCGGGUGCCGUCGCUAACGUUUUAAGUAUUCCGCCUGGGGAGUACGCUCGCAAGAGUGAAACUCAAAGGAAUUGACGG
rnacentral:rRNA from 1 species